CCGCCGCCGCCGCCGCCCGUGGGGACGUGAAGCACCAUCUCUUGCAGGUUCACCACAGACUGGCCGAAGAAGCAGAGGGACUUCAGGUGGCUCCUCGCCGCCUCCUCGUCACUGAAGCCCGCCUGGCACUUGCGGCAGACCAACUUGUACUGCACCUUUGGAACAAUGAAGGGGUCGUAGAGGGAGUCCGCACUUUUGCUUUCUGCUUCUGGCUCUUCGGGGGGUUUCGGCAGGAGGGGGGACACCUCACGGGGUGCGUUUUUCUGCUCUUCUGGUCUGGGGGAUUCUUUGGCAGGGUCUUUGUCUGGGGAAGCAGCCCCCUGGGGGACUGGGGUUUGGCUUGCUUUGGGCUGCUGCACUUUUUGCUGCUGCUGCUGCAGCUGCCGCUGCUGCUGGAUGGCCUCCUGCAGACUCUGCUGGUAUUGCUGGUACUGCUGCAGCAGGGAGCCCGGGGACAGCCCCAUCAGGGCCUGCGACAGCGCAGGGCUGUAGGGGAACAGGCCUUCCAUGCCGUACAUAGGCUGCAGGUACCCGCUCUGCAGGGCGCCGGGGAUCUGGGGGGCGUAAUAAGGAGAGAAGCCUGGUACAAAGUAAGGGAGGAACUGGCUCGUGAGCAACGCUGUGGGGUCCGAAGUCAAGGCUGCCUGCAGGGCCUGCAGCUGCGCAGGGUCCACUGCAUACUCCAUGGCGGGCAGCGGUGCUGAGAUCGUGGCUGCGGCUGCCGUGGGGGCCUCUCCUUUCUCCUUCUUGGGGACGGGCAGGGGUUCCCCUUUCCCUUUGUGUGCCUUUUCCUUCUCCUUUCCCUUCUCACCAUCUCUGUCCUGGCGUUGCUGUUGCUGCUGCUGCGGCGGGAGCUGCGGCGCGGGUGGCGGCUGGGCUGCUGGCGGCGGCGGCGGCGGCUGCGGUUGGGGACUUGGCAGAGGGGCCGUCGCCGCGGGGGCCUGUGCUGGCGUGGGGGAGCUCAGCGACGCUGAGGGUGGUUUAUUUGGUAAUCCAGACGUGGGGAGGCCGGGGGAAGGAACUGUUGUGCUGGGCAGACCCAUCAAGUUCGGUUUAGGAGAUGUUAAAGCUGAAAGGAGUGGAGACAGAGAAAUCACGUGUCAGUCUGGGGUGCUGAGGCUAGUGCUAAAGAUGUUUCACCUGUGUCACUGGCACAGGGUCUAAGAGCUCAAGGUUUGAACUUGGAGGAUCCUGUUGAUCCAACGGCUUUCCCGCCAGGCCCAGGUUGGAUAGCCUGUAUUCUAAUCCGGACCCAGCCCUGGGUCAGCUCCCAUACCAGGUAAACAACUUCCAACACCUUCCUGCCCAACGUGCCACACCCAUCCCACUCGGUCAUGUUUUCUCUGCUGCGCUCCCAACUCUGCCCAAGGCAAUUAGUCUGGAGGCCCCCAGACAAGCUGCUGCCAGCCGGGACCCAUCGGAACCGAUGGCCUUCAUCAAAAGCCCCACAGAAAUAGCACAGUCAAGAGGCCCCACCAGAAGCUGUCUGCGGAAGACAGCAAAAGCAAGAAACCCGGCCAGACACCAAGACCACCUGAACAAACACAACAGGCUCUACACAUGUGCCUCUCUGACCUCCACUGCUGCAGGUGAAUGGAUGUGUUUAGGAGGGCACAGAGAGGAGGAGCAAUGGGAAGAAAUGGAAACAAUCCAUUCACGGUAAACAGUGGCACUGCUUUGGCUCAGCUGAUCUGCUUUAACAAAUCUGCUGAAAAAUGUAACCACCUAGGAAUAGGAUUCUGUAGUCCACCGGAAAAAUGAGCAUUUUCUUCUCCUGCCCCUAUCUGAAUGACAUACGGGAGGAUUAGGACUGCAGAUGCUUGAGAAAGCAGCCAUAGGAAGAGGAGAAGAGCAAUGUCAAAGUGCUGGCACCAGCAAUUCCUAAGACAUCACAACCUACCCCAGGCACCACUGCUUACGGGUGGCAGACCAUGUCACCAGGCGCACGCAGGACACAGCCCCAUCCUCAAUCACACUCAGGCCUAAUCUACCACUACCUGUAAAGCCUUCACCCAGCCCCAGAGCCUGACCUCCUCCCUGACCCAUAUCUCCUGGGUUAAAUCUUUUGUUUCAGGGUGAUGGAGGGCUGCUGCUGGUUCAUGAAGACUAGCAAGGUGGCGGUGAAGGACAGCACUGACCACAUCCAAGACACUAGACGGGAUGCGUCCCUCCUCUUCAGAGGACACCAAAAUGUACUACUUUAUCUGGACCACCUUCAGCAAGAAAGCUGGGGUGGGGUUCCAAACAAGUCACUGUCUUCAUGAGAAAAAACACUCUGAAGCCCAAGCCAGGUGAAGACAAUGUUGAUUUCUAGCUCCAGUGGUGCAGUAUUCCCUGGGCUAUCACGCUGCAUUAAAAAAAGAAACUCAGAUUUCGGGUGAAGAGAACAAGGUUGCCUCAAGUUGCCAGUCCCAGCAAAAACAGGCAUUAACUUUUGGAUAGCCAAGGAGGAUGCCUCCCUCAGCAUCACAUAAUAUCAUUAAUUGACUCUUCCAAAAUGGCAGAAAGGGACCACUGAAAUUAAGUCAUCCAAUUUCCUGAAUGUACUUACGGGACUGAAAUCAGAGGAGAAGAUGUGUCUGACUUAGAAAAACUCAGUAAAGGCUUGUUGGUUAAAGUGGCACAAAGCAGAUUAUGAAUUCCAACUCGGGACAUGGCUUUGUCUAUUUCUAGGCAACAGGCUUGCUCCAAGCGUUAGGCUGGAGCUGUAGGCAGAGCCCAAUGACCAGUGGGGCAGAGAAGGAAGUGCCUAUUGAUCUCCCCAUCCCUCUGGCAUCAGGCUGCCAGAGAAGAACUGACUUCCUCUACCUUGAACUGACAGUGCACAAGAGAGCUUCAAUUUUAAGAAACAUGUACUGAACUUCUGCUAUUUACCAGGCUCUGCACUAGCCAUGUGAGAUAAAGUAGCUCAAUACAUUCUCACAAUAAUUCCGUGGCUUUGGUUUUCUUAUCUGUAAGAUCAGAACCAAAGAGGCCACUUCAUCCCCCUGAGGCUGAGUCACGUACUCCUGGAGUCGGACUGACGAGGUAUGGACUGUGGCUGACACACAUCUGCCGUGUGAUAUCGGGCCUAUUAGUUGACUGCUUGGAACCGCAGCUUUCCACAACAGAUGGAUGUAGGGUUUAAAUGGAAGCUCAUAUGGAAAGAGCUUACCAUCGGGCCUGACGUAUUAAACACACGUUCUUUCUUUCUUUCCUAAUUCCAGAUGCAGUGCUCCUGGGAGCUGCGGUACAGUCAGACAGGGGUAACUGGGGCGGGCCUGGCUGCUUUGAAUGAUUAAGAGCUGAUCUGUCUUCCUACCUGGAGUCCACUCUAAGUGCUCAGAACCUGAGUAGCACUAAACAUAUACCUGUUGACUGACUGGCUCGUAUUGGGUGCUGUGGAAGGAGUACAUAGCACUGGGAGCCCGGCUCCUACCCUAGCUUGUUGAAUGGUCUUGACCUCUCUGGGCCUCAGUUUUCUCAUCUGUAAAACAAGGGGAAUAGAUCAGACAUUUUGAUUCUGAUAUUUUCACAUUAUUAUGAAAUGUUGGGCUUUCCCAAGCCCCUCUUCCAAGGUCCUGGGCUGCAAGUGAAGUUCAGUGCCCAGCCACUUUCCAUAGUCUCUUUCUUGGCUUAUGUCUAGCUGACUUUAACAUCAUUCUGUGACAUUACUUGCCAACACAUGUAAGCAACGACUUCUACAUCUUAAUGCUUUCUUUUCUUGUUCUUCUCUUUGGAUAAGAAACUGGGAUCUGGAAUGAGGUAGCCCUCACGUUCUGUAAAACACUGCUAAAAUUAUAAAACUUGGAUUUAAUUCAACCAGAAACCAGGGCUGCUCUGGGAAGCAGCAGAACCACUUCCACCCCGGGAAGAGGGCCAUGUUUUGAAGGAUCCUGGAGGUGAAAGUCCAAUUUAGGGAAGACAGCUGGAUUCAGAGAAGACGGGUGAGGGCAGAGGAGGAGGAACAAGAGAGGUACACAGAAAGAACUGCGGCACUCCCUACGAAGUGGAAAAAUAACUACCAAAUAUCGAGAUGGGAUCUGCAUUUCCCCACAAGGACUGAAUGGAAGGGUCUAUAAUGGAAACUGCUGUCUUGAAAAUACCCCAGGAUCUAGUACGCCAGAACCCUGAAGUUGACGCCUAUCACACACACCCUGGUGGUGGUACUGAACACCAGGCACGAGAAUGGUUUCAGGAGACUGUUCCAACCACAAGAUCCCCAUCCUUGAACAGGCAAGUCAAAGAGUCGUGUACACUCCAGCUCUAGGGAGACUCAGUGGAAGGGACCUGAGGUUUUAUUGCUGUUAGAGAACUUGAAAAGGGAAGCUUCCUAUCAGGCCAGCACUCAGAGGUUUUGUGUGAUAGCCAUAGAAGCAGCGCUAAUUGGGCGGCUAUUUAAUACUGGGAGAAUCACCAAGAGCAGAACCCACCUGUGUUGGAUGGAGUAAAGCCUGGCAAGGAGGGGCUGUUGAGGCCGGGGAGCAACACGGGAGGAAUGCCCUGGAUUGCCGGAUAUGCCGUAGGAAGGUUGAGAGCCUGAAGAGGGGCGUUGUCAAACAUCCCUUGCUGCUGAGCUGCCAGUCCGAGGACCUCAUUGGCCUUUUUAAUCCGGUCCAACUCUUGUUGAGCCAUCAACUGACGUACAGUGGCUGGGUCAAAGUAUUCUUUCUCCUUGUCCAGCUGGCUUCCAAUGGUGUCUUUAACUUUGGAGAUAUGCUGUUGGGAAAAGAUAUGGUCACGUACAGACAGCCGAGCGCUGUACUUGAUGCCACACAAAGUGCACUCUGUUUUGGGUCCCUCGUAACUUGUUUGGUUUAUACCAAAAUGCUUGGCCAUGCUUAACUUGGACUUCUUUUCUUUUGCCCGGGCAUUCUGGAACCAGACCUGAACCACUCUCUUUGGCAGUCCAAUGUCAUUGCCCAGGACUUCACACUCUAGCAUGGUGGGUGUCCUGUAGUCAUUAAAGCAUGACUUGAGGACCUUCAGCUGCAGAUUGGUCAUCUGAGUGCGAAAACGUUUCUGCCCGGGCCUAUCCCCACUGUCUCCAGAUUUGCCUGCUGACCCACUUGCACCAGGGCUUGGGGAGCAGGGGUCUGCAAGGCUCGAGGUUUCACUGUAGUCCACUGUACCUUCAUUGUCAUAUUCCUUGCUGUAAAAGCUCGGGGCUGGGCUGACCAGACCGGAUGACAACCGAUCUUCAUACUCGGACAUUGCCAUCAUGGCCGCUUUGGUCAACCCUUCACUGGGCGCGGAAGAGGAUUUGGUUUCAGUUGCUAUUCCCGUCGCACUGUCGUUAUCCGCAUUGCCCUCGUCUCCAGUAGUGGUAUCUGUGAUCGCUGUGUUGACUGAGGAACAGUCGUCGUUGUCCAGCUUAGUUUGGUCAAAGUUUAGAUUAACUGAAGACAUGGAAGGGCUUUCAAAGUCUUCAAUCCCUUCCACCUUGAUGGAAGAAGGGCUAAGAAGAGUUCUAGGAGACAACUCCAUGGUUUUGCUCACAGGGCUGGCACUGGCCUUUUCCUCCAGCUUCCUCUUGAGAGUGUUCAUCGUGGAGGUGGGAGUUGAAGGGGAAGUGGCCGAGCUUGCCGGAAUCUGAGGUGGCUCGUCUCGAGGUGUUUUUUCAGAGCCUGGAAAGUUCGGAAACUGCGCUGACAGAGACAGCACAUGGUGGCAGCUCUGAUCACGUGGUACUGAGAGUGGAGCUGCAGCUUUUCCACGGUCUUGAAAGCUAGGCUGCACUGGUUGCAGCGGUACUUGUACACGUGGCGAUCCGACACGGGCAGCUGAGGCCUCUUGGCGUGAACCUCGUUGAAGUGCGUCUGGAGAGUGGCGGAAGUUUUGAAAACCUGGUUGCACCCCUUCUUCCAGCACAGGAAGCCUGAAUCUUCUCUCACAGAGCCUGGGUCAGCGGGAGAGGGUUUCACAUCUCCACUGUGUUCUGUGCUGGCAGAGGGCAAGAUGUUCUUUCCCAGAUCAUCUGAGGUUUCUGAAAAAAAAAAAAAAAAAAAAAAAAGCCCAAUGAUAAAGAAGGCUUAGAGCUGUCUACCCAGCAAGGCCUCAUGAACAGAGUCUCAUGAUGAGGGAAAUAAAUACCCAACCUGCAGACACACACUCUCCACAGAGCCCCACACCGCUGAGAUCACGUGUUAUAUAAGCAGGUGCACAGGAAUAGAGAGGAAGAAAAGGAGAUAACAAAAAGUCUCAACUGCUAGUAGGCCUAUACCAUAGCACAAAUCUGCCUUUUAAACAAUAUUUGUUUGUUUCAAUUUCUCAAGAACUGGCUUGAAGGGAUACCCCCUUUACAUGGAUCUGAAUUAUAGAAUAUGUGAAUUCAUGCUGUCCUAAGCUGUGGGGAAUUUGCAAGAAUUGCUAUCCACUGUAAUAUAAGAAAUUUUGGGAUAUAUAUAUUUUUAGGCAUUAAAUUUCUUGUUAUAAUGUGA